rnacentral:pre_miRNA from 1 species
AGCUUUUUUGAAUCCAUGCUGAGAUUUCGUCUGACACCAACCCAAUAAAGUUGAUCAGACUUCUGAGAUAAGUGAAGUU